rnacentral:rRNA from 1 species
GCUCUUUUACCCGGGAUGAUAAUGACAGUACCGGGAGAAUAAGCUCCGGCUAACUCCGUGCCAGCAGCCGCGGUAAUACGGAGGGAGCUAGCGUUAUUCGGAAUUACUGGGCGUAAAGCGCACGUAGGCGGCUUUGUAAGUUAGAGGUGAAAGCCUGGAGCUCAACUCCAGAAUUGCCUUUAAGACUGCAUCGCUUGAAUCCAGGAGAGGUGAGUGGAAUUCCGAGUGUAGAGGUGAAAUUCGUAGAUAUUCGGAAGAACACCAGUGGCGAAGGCGGCUCACUGGACUGGUAUUGACGCUGAGGUGCG